GAACUUCGCGAACACCGAGAGCCGUUGAGUAAACGAAAAUAAAGUGGUGUCUUUAACAUGUAUCAAAAGGAGAUAGCAACGUCGCUUGAGGGAGAAUAGUCAUACAAGCUAAUAUUGCUUUGUCACCUACCAAAACUUUUGGGCAGAUAGGUCAGAUAACGUAUAGUAUCUAUUUCGAAUGCUCGUAAAAAACGUGGACAAAUUUUGUGGAAGCUUCAGUUCUUUAACUUUUGCGUAUGAUCUCUAUUACUGGUGCAUCCAAGUGAAUGUACAGCUCAACUGCCUGUUUUAAUCCCCUACUAGUAUGAAAACUAAUCAGCCUGCGGAGGAAAUUUUACAAACAUGGAUGAAAACAAACCCAAGUCGGAUUUUGCUGAAUCUUUGUCGUGAUUACCAUGGCGACAACCUCCCCGACGUCGUCCAAAUUUUAGUGCAAGAAGGAAUCGAUUUGAACUGUAAAGAACAGCUUGGAUCACAAGCCUUCCUCUACUUAUGCGGGAGUUACAAACACGAAAAUUUGAUUGAAAUCAUUCGCAUUUUAAUGCAAAACGGGGUAGACGUGAAUUGCAAGAACAAAGAUGGCGCUAAUCCUUUACACCUUCUAUGUCAGUAUUAUGGUAAAAGCAAUCUAAUUGACAUCAUUCAGCUUUUAAUCGAUCACGGUAUUGAAGUGAAGAGCAAAGAUUGGGCGGGGAACACUGCUGUUCUACACUUGUGUGCACACUAUAGAGGAAACAACUUGAUUGAAAUCCUGCAGCUACUUAUCCGGCAUGGAGCGGAAACAAAUUGUGUGAAUCAGUUUGGAGAGAAUCCGGCGCGUCUCCUUUCUAUUUAUUAUCAAGCAGAUACUCGGGACGAAAUACUUCAGCUGAUCAAGGACAAAAACAGCGAGAGAAAAAACCAGAACUGCUGUUUGAUGUAACGCUUCUCAAAAUUCGUGAGGAAACAUAAACCCCAAAACUAGUUGACCAUCAUUUGGUUUUUCGAAUGCUAUCAUGUCCUGUACCAAAAUUGCUGAUACAUCCUUUCCUUGGCUGACUUGUAGCCGUCUUGAUAACGUGAUCAAAAGCUUUACGUGAAUAAACUAAACGUGAGGUA